GAUCGAGUUGUAAUUUGAAGAAGCGUUUUCUGCGUAUUUGAUCAGCCUAAGUCCUAUUGAAUGAGGCAUCACGGAGGGUGAUAAUCCCGUCCGGUUGAUCAUUUGCGUUUUACGAUACGCUUUCUAAGAGUCAAGUUGUUUGGGAUUGCAGCUUAAAAUGGGAGGUAAAUUUCUCUAAGGCUAAAUAACGGCGAGAGACCGAUAGCGAACAAGUACC
rnacentral:rRNA from 1 species